rnacentral:rRNA from 1 species
UACAGAGGGUGCGAGCGUUAAUCGGAAUUACUGGGCGUAAAGCGUGCGUAGACGGCUAUCUAAGUCGGGUGUGAAAGCCCCGGGCUCAACCUGGGAAUUGCAUUCGAGACUGCAUUGCUGGAGUACGGAAGAGGAGGGCGGAAUUCCCGGUGUAGCGGUGAAAUGCGUAGAUAUCGGGAGGAACAUCAGUGGCGAAGGCGGCCCUCUGGUCCAGUACUGACACUCAAGUGCGAAAGCGUGGGGAGCAAACAGG